AUGCCAUAGUGAGGGCAUUUCCUAAACAAAUCUUUAUACCUUUCUCAUGCACUCAAAACUUUUUCAUCGUACAUUUUUUUUAAACAUGCAAAUCUCAUUCUUGGACUU